rnacentral:misc_RNA from 1 species
GAAAUGCGAUAAGUAAUGUGAAUUGCAGAAUUCAGUGAAUCAUCGAAUCUUUGAACGCACAUUGCGCCCCCUGGUAUUCCGGGGGGCAUGCCUGUUCUAGCGUCAUUUCACCACUCAAGCCUCGCUUGGUAUUGGGCGACGCGGUCCGCCGCGCGCCUCAAAUCGACCGGCUGGGUCUUCCGUCCCCUCAGCGUUGUGGAAACUAUUCGCUAAAGGGUGCCGCGGGAGGUCACGCCGCAAAACAACCCCAUUUCUAAGGUUGACCUCGGAUCAGGUAGGGAUACCCGCUGAACUUAAGC